GAACAGGUUUUAUUUAAAAUCACACAAAAGAUUCAAAGAAUGGUUG
rfam:Asian citrus Psyllid, Diaphorina citri - Florida Strain, whole genome shotgun sequence.